rnacentral:rRNA from 1 species
AAUGAACGUUGGCGGCAUGGAUUAGGCAUGCAAGUCGAGCGCGAAGAGUCAUUUGCUUGCAUUUGACUCUGAAAGCGGCGUAAGGGUGAGUAACGCGUAGUUACCUACCUCCGGGUCCGGAAUAGCUGCGGGAAACUGCAGGUAAUGCCGGAUAACAUCUCAGGAUCAAAGGUGAGAUUCCGCCCGGAGAGGGGACUGCGUCCUACUAGCUUGUUGGUGGGGUAAUGGCCUACCAAGGCUUCGAUGGGUAGCGGGCGUGAGAGCGUGGCCCGCCACACGGGGACUGAGACACUGCCCAGACACCUACGGGUGGCUGCAGUCGAGAAUCUCCGGCAAUGGGCGAAAGCCUGACCGAGCAAUGCCGCGUGCGGGAUGAAGGCCCUCGGGUUGUAAACCGCGAAAGUAAGGAGGAAGGACCUGCGAAGAGCAGGUUUUGACCGAUCUACAGUAAGGACGGGCUAAGUUCGUGCCAGCAGCCGCCGUAA